UGUUUAGGAUUUGAUUAGGAUUCGGUCAGGAUUUUUUUUGGAUUUGACUAGGAUUUAUUUAGGAUUUGGUUAGGAUUUGUUUAAGAUUUAGUUAGCAUUUGUUUAGGGCUUGUUUAGGAUUUGGUUAGGAUUUGACUAGGAUUUAUUAAGAAUUUGGUUAGAAUUUGUUUAGAAUUUGUUUAAGAUUUUAUUAGUAUUUAUUUAGAAUUUAUUAGGAUUUUUUUAGGAUUUGAUUAAGAUUUUUUUAGAGUUUGUUUAAGAUUUGAUUAGGAUUUAUUUAGAAUUUUAUUAGGAUUUGUUUAGGAUUUGAUUAGGAUUUAUUUAAGAUUUGUUUAGAGUUUGGUUAGGAUUUAUUUAAAAUUUGACUAAGAUUUGAUUAAAGUUUAUUUAGGAUUUGAUUAGGAUUUGUUAGGAUUUGACUAAGAUUUAUUUAAGAUUUGGUUAGUUUUUGACUAGGAUUUGACUAGAAUUUGAUUAGAUUUUAAUUAAGAUUUAAUUAAAAUUUUAUUUUUAUAUUUUAUUAAGAUUUCUAUUUUAGUAUAUUUUUGAAUUUCUAUAUUAUUUUUUUAUGAUUCUUUAAAAGGUCUCUAGGAAUACUUUAUGUCCUUACAUAAUUCUUUUGAAAUUUUGAUUGAAUUUGUUCAAUGUUUGAUUAUAUUUUCUAAUCUUUAAUUGUAAUUUGUUUAAGAAUCUAUUAGAAUUGUUAGGACUUAUUGUUGCAAUUUUAUUUUUAUCUUCCACAGUCAAGUACUUGGUGCAUUCUCAAGCCAAACGCCACAUAAUAUGACACCAUAUAAGUGGAGUAGCGAUCUUAAAGUAAUU
rnacentral:lncRNA from 1 species